CAAGGGACUUAAAGCAAAUUGAGUGCACUGGCGGAAACGCCGGAUGUAGAACUGCUCAAAGUCGGGGAAACCUGUCAGAUGGCAAUCCCGAGCCAAGCCCUGCAAGGGGAAGGUGUAGAGACUAGACGGGCAGCACCUAAGGCAAAGCUAGGGUGAAGGUAUAGUCCAGACCACAAACGCCGGAAGGCGGCG
rnacentral:ncRNA from 2 species